rnacentral:rRNA from 1 species
GACGAACGCUGGCGGCGUGCUUAACACAUGCAAGUCGAACGGAAAGGCCCUGCUUUUGUGGGGUGCUCGAGUGGCGAACGGGUGAGUAACACGUGAGUAACCUGCCCUUGACUUUGGGAUAACUUCAGGAAACCGGGGCUAAUACCGGAUAGGAGCUCCUGCUGCAUGGUGGGGGUUGGAAAGUUUCGGCGGUUGGGGAUGGACUCGCGGCUUAUCAGCUUGUUGGUGGGGUAGUGGCUUACCAAGGCUUUGACGGGUAGCCGGCCUGAGAGGGUGACCGGCCACAUUGGGACUGAGAUACGGCCCAGACUCCUACGGGAGGCAGCAGUGGGGAAUAUUGCACAAUGGGCGGAAGCCUGAUGCAGCAACGCCGCGUGCGGGAUGACGGCCUUCGGGUUGUAAACCGCUUUCGCCUGUGACGAAGCGUGAGUGACGGUAAUGGGUAAAGAAGCACCGGCCAACUACGUG